GGGUGGGAGGGGACCUGCAGUGCCAGGAAAAUGGAUUGUUUUCCUGGCACUAGUGUUUCCCUUUAAUUAAUUAAAACCAGCAUAAUUACCAGUUAUGUUGUAGAUGCUCUUAUCAGAUGAAUAGAUAGUCCCAGGAACUUGAAUGCAAGUAUUCUUGAUGACUGUAUGCAGUAGAAAAUAUUAAGAAUUAGGUGAGUUUAAGAGCGCUGAUAGUUUCUCGAGGACAGUCAAAGAG